rnacentral:rRNA from 1 species
GACGAACGCUGGCGGCGUGCUUAACACAUGCAAGUCGAACGGAGAGGGCCUGCUUUGGUGGGGUGCUCGAGUGGCGAACGGGUGAGUAACACGUGAGUAACCUGCCCUUUAGUGUGGGAUAACUUCAGGAAACUGGGGCUAAUACCGGAUAGGAGCUGCUGCUGCAUGGUGGUGGUUGGAAAGUUUCGACGGCUGGGGAUGGACGUGCGGCUGCGCAGCUUGUGGGUGGGGGAGUGGCUAAGCAAGGCCUUGGCGGGUAGCCGGCCUGGGAGUGUGACCGGGCACAGUGGGACUGAGGUAGGAGCCAGAGUGCAACGUGAGGCAGCGGUGGAGAAUAUUGCACAAAGGGCGGAGGCGUGAUAGAACGACGUCGGGUGCGAGAUGACGGUUGUCGGGGUGUAAACCGCGUUAGCGUGUGACGUUGCGUGUGUGACGGUAACGGGUAAAGAAGCACCGGCUAACUACGUG